AUUGAGGAUCAAAAAGUUGCAUAAGAGCAUACACAGAUACGCACAACUAUGUUUUACACGACGUCUUGUGGUACCUGAUGUUCCUCUGGAAGAGACAGAUAUUUUGAGAAGCGAGGCUGCCAAGAACAACCUUGAGCUGGUGUUACUAACAACACCAACUACACCAACAGAAA